rnacentral:rRNA from 1 species
AGAGUUUGAUCAUGGCUCAGGAUGAACGCUAGCGGCAGGCUUAACACAUGCAAGUCGAGGGGUAACAGAGGGUGCUUGCACCUUGCUGACGACCGGCGCACGGGUGCGUAACGCGUAUGCAACCUACCUUCUACAGGGGAAUAGCCCAGAGAAAUUUGGAAUAAUACCCCAUACGAUCAUUGAUUGGCAUCGAUCAAUGAGGAAAACUCCGGUGGUAGAAGAUGGGCAUGCGUCCUAUUAGUUAGUUGGUGAGGUAACGGCUCACCAAGACGUCGAUAGGUAGGGGCCCUGAGAGGGGGAUCCCCCACACUGGUACUGAGACACGGACCAGACUCCUACGGGAGGCAGCAGUGAGGAAUAUUGGACAAUGGGGGCAACCCUGAUCCAGCCAUGCCGCGUGCAGGAAGACUGCCCUAUGGGUUGUAGACUGCUUUUAUACAGGAAGAAACUGUGCUACGUGUAGCGCACUGACGGUACUGUAAGAAUAAGGAUCGGCUAACUCCGUGCCAGCCGCCGCGGUAAUAC